rnacentral:rRNA from 1 species
CGAGAGGGCAGCCAAGUCGUGAGGCGGAGCUAAUCCCUUAAAGCCAUUCUCAGUUCGGAUUGUAGGCUGAAACUCGCCUACAUGAAGCUGGAGUUACUAGUAAUCGCAGAUCAGAAUGCUGCGGUGAAUGCGUUCCCGGGUCUUGUACACACCGCCCGUCACACCACGGAAGUUGGGGGCGCCCGAAGCCACUUAGCUAACCCUUUUGGGAAGCGAGUGUCGAAGGUGAAAUCAAUAACUGGGGUGAAGUCGUAACAAGGUACC